rnacentral:tRNA from 1 species
GUGUUGCUCAAUGGUAGAGCACGUGCCUAGCACGCACAAGGUCCUGGGUUCAACACCUAGCAC